rnacentral:ncRNA from 1 species
CGAAAGAUGGUGAACUAUACCUGAGCGGGAUGAAGCCAGAGGAAGCUCUGGUGGAGGUCCGAAGACGAUUCUGACGUGCAAAUCGAUC